rnacentral:rRNA from 1 species
UACGUAGGGGGCAAGCGUUGUCCGGAUUCAUUGGGCGUAAAGGGUGCGUAGGUGGCGCGGUAAGUCGGGUGUGAAAUCUCGGAGCUUAACUCCGAAAUUGCAUUCGAUACUGCCGUGCUCGAGGACUGGAGAGGAGACUGGAAUUCAUGGUGUAGCAGUGAAAUGCGUAGAGAUCAUGAGGAAGACCAGUGGCGAAGGCGGGUCUCUGGACAGUUCCUGACACUGAGGCACGAAGGCCAGGGGAGCAAACGGG